ACGGAAGGCAGCAGUGGGGAAUAUUGGGCAAUGGGCGAAAGCCUGACCCAGCAACGCCGCGUGAAGGAAGAAGGCCUUCGGGUUGUAAACUUCUUUUAGCAGGGACGAAGGACGUGACGGUACCUGCAGAAAAAGCAACGGCUAACUACGUGCCAGCAGCCGCGGUAAUACGUAUGGAGCAAGCGUUAUCCGGAUUUACUGGGUGUAAAGGGUGCGUAGGCGGCAUGGCAAGUCAGAUGUGAAAGACCGGGGCUCAACUCCGGGGCUGCAUUUGAAACUGCCAGGCUGGAGUACAGGAGAGGCAGGCGGAAUUCCUAGUGUAGCGGUGAAAUGCGUAGAUAUUAGGAGGAACACCAGUGGCGAAGGCGGCCUGCUGGACUGUUACUGACGCUGAGGCACGAAAGCGUGGGGAGCAAACAGGAUUAGAUACCCUGGUA
rnacentral:rRNA from 1 species